ACAUAGUAUUUUAAAACCCAAGAGAUUUUAUAUAAAAAAAUCAGUUUUCUUCAAAAAUUGCAAACCUGGCUACACUGGGGCUAGUGGUGUGCUGCAGCUAGCUUGUACUUGCUCAUUGAGCCAAUUAUUAGUAUCUCUUCUAAACAUGUGCAGUGACAAUCAUAGUAGAGGCUUGAAAUUAGCUAUGUGGGAGUGUUUACACCAUGAGAAUUGGCAAAUGCAACCUGUGACAGUUUGUUGUUGUUGUUUUUCUUGUUUUAAUGAGCCAGUUGUUAAACAUUUACCAGCACACCACUGCACUGGGAUCACAAUGUCACGUGGUAGCACAUGCUGGAGAGAGUAGUGACUCUCUCCUCAGACAGGAUGUGGGCUCUUUAGUCCAUAUCCAUCACCAUUUCCUAUUGUUUUUCGUCUGACUCAGUUCACUUAUUUUAAUUACCCGUCUGGCAUAGUUAAGCAUUUGACUUUGCAACUCCUGGUUUACGGUCAAAACACACAUUCAAAACACACUCUUAGAUGAUAACAUGGGGAAAAAAAUCAAGUCACUGUGCUUGUUUGAAAGUUUAAAAAAUAAAAGGCUUAAAUUGAACACUGUUGGACAAAUUGAAAUACCAUCUUUAGAAGCCUUUUUGUUCCUUUUCAAACCAUUGUUAUUCAAGCACAAAAGAAGACUGUAACAUACAUUUCAAGUCACAAAGUAAGAAGUCAGCAAAAAACAAAUUUUUUAAAAGAGAAGAUAAUUAUUUAAUCAUAUAUUUUUAAGAAACAAACUAUAAAACCUGGAACUUUUUAUUUCUAGUGAAAAAGCCAUCAUUGCUUCUCAAAAGCAGGUUUUCUUCAUUUGUCUAAAAACCUUAUACAGAUAUUUGACGGAACUCUUGAAAACCUGGACCCAAAAAAAAAAAAAAUUCCUUCACAAGAGAAACCUCUGAUUAAAUGAGUAUUUCAGUAAGAAUGUCUGAACAUGAAGCCAGACAUGAUAGUGGUCAGGAAAAUUCUCUUUCAAGUCAUCUUAAGUGGAUUCCUACACAAAUGACUGCAGUGUAUCCUGUUCUAAUAUAUAGGUCUGUGUUUCCCACGACAAUAAUGAUUGCACAUAUCAGUCUCUUCCCCUGGGGCAUGAACUUCAUAGUCCUACCCACUAAAAGAAAAUUAUUGUUCAAAAACCACUUCCAAGGUCCUAAGAACAAAUACAGAUGACAAAAUUGAGGAAAGAACAAAGACCAAUGGAAGUUCCUAAAACAGUUCCCAUCAAUGGGUUUUAUAUUUCUUGACACUGUCCUAACAGUAAUCACUUCCACCAUUAAAACUAUGCAAUAUGAGCAACUAUAAGAAGUCUCUAUCCCAAUGCACCACUUUAAAAAAUCUGUCUUCCUUCCUCUUCCCCUCACUAACCUCACUUUCAGCCUCAGGCCUACUUUAGCAUGGUGACUGAUCUUUUUUUUUUUUUUAAAUCAAGAUACUCAAAAAUAACAAGUAUUUGGAAUUCUAUCCUAGUCCCCAAAUUAUAAGGUCAACAUUACUUAGCCAUGCAUGGCUUGUAGCUAACUUCAAGAAAAAAAGGUUAAGGAAACACAAAGGAGGCAAGGAAGGGAGGGAGGAUGGUAAGGGAAGGAAGGGAAAGGAAAGGAAGGACAUGAACAUGUUUUGAGGUUACAUGAGACAAAAAAAAAGGCUAUGUUUAAAAAACAGAAGGAGGAAAACAAUAUCAUGUGUCUUCUUAGAUUCUUAAUAUAAAUUUUGGGCAGGGACAAAAUUCAAAUACCAUUGUUAUGAAUCAUCUUGAAAAAAAUUUCGUCUCUGAGUUUUGACAUCCUUCAUGUAUAUAGGACAUGCUUGAGAAUACAUUAGAAAGUUCAGGAAAUGAUGUAGUUUAGAGUCAAGAGCAGUUUGUGGAUAGAACCCAAAACAAAACAAGACCCAAAAAAAGAGAAUAACAGUUUUAUCUGUAGUGGGUAAUAUGUGCUGGCUGUACUAAUUCAUGUUGAGCUUUGUUUCAGUGUACUGAUUUUCACCAAUUUAAUGCUAAAGGUCUGGACGUCAGUUACCUCAAGAUCUCUUUUAGCGAAAGAGGUCAAUGUGCACUGGAGUACUUUUCCUCAAAAUGAUCAGAUUUGCAUCACAGCUCACUACCAAAGAGGUCUUUCCUGAACAUUCAUGUUAUCUCAGUUCUCUGCCUACUCUACGAAUCAGCCAGAAUCCAUAAGCUUCACAUGGAUGUUUACAAUAAGAAAUACGCCAUCAGCAUGUUUCAUUUAAUUUUGGUUGAAGUAUUUUAACAUGUACAUUACCCUAAUUGAAAUUAAAAAAAAAAAGUAGUAGCAAAGUAAGACUCUUACUUCAUAAUGGAAGACAUCAUAAUUGCAAGACUAUCAAAAAGUAAACGCUUUAGGUAAAAAUCAGGCUUUGCUGCAACCAAUGGGCUCCUAGGGCAGGACAUGCAUGGCUAAGGAAUGUAGUAAUAAGGUGAACAUGGACAGAAGAGGGACUGAAGGAAAGAGAAGAAAAAGGAGAAACUAAGGACAAGGGCUUCAGAUGAAGAGCUCCUAAACACUCCUAAAGACUACCAGUUACACAGGUCAUACAAAUUGGUCCUAUUAACAACCGAAGAAAGGAGAACAAACUUAGGUUAUGGACUUGAAAGGAUAAAGCCAAGCAAAAGAUUGAAGUGCUGCCUGUGUGGACAGCACCUCACUGCUCCUUCCUCACCAAGACAAUACUGAGGGGAAGAAAGGCCAGUUGACUGAAUCUAAAUUAUGCUACCAAAAAUCUCUAAGGGGGGAAAAUACAAUGAAAUAAUAAAUUAACACUGGGAAAAGUCAACAAAAAUACCCUUAAGGAAGAAAGUCUCAGGCCCAGAACCAAGACCAAAGGUGCUGCCAGGAUUUGCCACGUACCUUCAUGUGGGAGUGGGACGCACCCUUGGCUGGGUGGAGGAUGCCUAGCAUAGGGAAUUGGCUGGGGUCUUGGGAAGAGGGCUGACCCCUGAACCCUAUAAGGACAGCACUCAGCCCCGCAAGGCUUGGCCUCCUGUGGUACGUUCUCUUCAACCUCAUCCCACUUCUAUGCCUUAUCUCAGUCAACUGCAAAUUGGGGGAAUUAUUGUUGCAGUAUAGAAUUUACAUGUUAUGGAACUUGACUAGAGUUAGGUUAUGCAAAGUAAGUAAAAGUACCUGACAGCACUUACUAAGUAAAAGUAUUUACAUAUAAAGGUGAAGUAAACUUUGACUAAGUACAAGUAGUUAAUUAGCAGCAAUUGGGAAGUGAAGAGAGGGAAGAUGGAAGGAACGAAUGUUCGAAUGCUAAUCAUUGCUCAGAACAUGAAAUCAAUACAUGAUGGAACAUGUAGGUAAUAGUUAAAGAAGCAUGAAAUGAGGCAGGACAUGGUGGCUCACACCUGUAAUCCCAGCAGUUUGGGAGGCCGGGGUGGAU
rnacentral:lncRNA from 1 species